GGGGCGGGCGGAGUUCUCGCGAGGACUCGGAGCCCGGUCAAUUCCUUUCGCUAUUCGACGGGAAGAGAACCUCCGGGAAGGCGCUGGUGGCGGUGGCGGCGGCGGGAAGCCGGAGCCGCAGGUCGGCGCUACAAGAGUUCGAGGACUCGAUUUGGAAGUAUCGGCCGCGGUGGCGCAGCGGGGAAGCGACUCGCCUAGGGUGCGAGAAGCUGACGGUUCGAAUCCCCGUGGGUGCCGCUGCCGCGAUCGUCCAUUACUUUAGUCGGUCGGUUGUUACACCGGGUUAUGGGUCCUGCCACCUGCGUAGCCUUGGGCAAGUUGCGCAGUCUCAAAUGGCCCACCUUGGCAGGACCCCAUUUGGGGCUGCGGAGCGAGCUUGAGGUGAGAAGGUGAGUAGGGCCCAUAACCCAGGGAAAGAACCGACCUUAUAUUUAUUGCCAGCUAGCGGAUUAAAAAAAAAAAAAAAAAUAAGAAUUUUUUUCUUUCAAUUCCUGCGGGGAAUCGAACUCCCGACCUUCGGCGUCCCAAGCAGCAGCUUACCACACUCUGCCACGAGGCGAGCUUCUGGGGAAAGAGAGGAUGCCGGGCUGGGCUAGUCCGUGCAGCAGAUAAGCCAUUUACAGACCUCGCAGGUCUUGCCCAAUCGGGGUGAGAAUUUAAAGGUCCGGACCCCUCGUGUGGUCUUCGCCUUGCCCAAUCCAGCGGGGGAGUGGCCCCUGAAUGCCACACGAAGUGGGAGUCGUAAGGAAACACACCAGUGACUCUGGAAACCAUUCAAUUACUCUCAGAAAAUGCAACCAUGUUGGACAGAGGCAGCUGUGAAUUCUUUUAUUCCUUUAUUCAUUCAUCAUUCAUAGACCACUUUUCAACCAAACAAAGUUCUCAAAGCAGUUUACAUAGAAAAACAAUAAGGAGAAGAGGGUUUCCAUUCCCCAAAGGGCUCACAGUCUA